rnacentral:RNase_P_RNA from 1 species
ACCGCAGGCCGUUCUAUCGCUCCGUAGCAAUACGGAGAGGAAAGUCCGGGCAACACAGAGCAUCCCACUUCCUAACUGGAAGGAUUCCACAGCAAUGCGGAAGACAGCAAGUACCACAGAAAAUUACCGUCGCGCAGAAAUGCGGGAUAAGGGUGAAAAUGUGAGGUAAGAGCUCACAUCUUGUUGCAGUGAUGUAGCAAGAGGGUAAACCUUGGGAGUUGAAAGACCAAAUAAACCGAAGCAUAAGAGCUGCUCGCUCUAUUCGGAGGGUAGGUUGCUUGAGUUUUGCAGUGAUGCAAAAUCUAGAUAAAUGAUAGAACUCGACAGAACCCGGCUUACAGGCCUGUUUUUUUU